GGUAGCGUGGCCGAGUUGGUCUAAGGCGUUGGAUUUAAGAAUUGAUCUGAAUCCCAAUGGGCGAAAGUCCGCGCGAGUUCGAACCUCGCCGCUACCA
rnacentral:tRNA from 1 species